AAAUAUGCAUAGGGCUUGAACAUCGUUUACUUAUUUUGUACCACCGUGCACCUUACAAUUAAAGAAAGAGAAACUGAAGCAAACUGCGCAACUGCGAGGAAUUCCAGGGCUCGACGCUGGGGUUGGGAAAUACUGGAAUCUGAGGCCUUAAUAUCAUAAAUUCCAAUAAAAUGAUUCAUCGGAAUUUCUGGGGCUACAACUUUUAAAUUCAUCUAUUCCCAUUCUUCUACUAAGUACGUCAUCAAAUCUUCCUUGGAAUUACAAGAAACUUUAACUCUUAUUUCGAACUGAAAGCCUGGAAUGCCCAGGAAGUUGACCCAUAAGGCGCGCUUCACGUUGGGGCUGAGGGAUAGGCCGUGGGAAGAAAGGGACAGGACGAGUUUGGACCAUAGGUUCUGAAUGGAGUAUGGAAUCCAUGUGACAGCAAAAGUGGGCAUGUGAUGGUGGCGAAAUUGGUGUUGAACGGUGGUUUUGGCGGGCAAUUCAAAUUCUGUAUAUCGGAUUUGCAGAUUAAGAUUUUGGGUUCGAAGCGUUUUCCCAGGGAUUUGUUUUGCUGAAAAUAAUGUAUUGAUGAAGUGAGGA
rnacentral:lncRNA from 1 species